UACGAGUGCCCCAAGCGUUAUCCGGAAUUAUUGGGCGUAAAGGGUGUGUAGGUUGUCUUGUUAGUCUUCUGUGAAAUUCUUCGGCUUAACCGGGGGUCCGCAGGGGAAACGGCAGGACUAGAGGAUGCGAGAGGUGUGCGGAACUCAUGGUGUAGGGGUGAAAUCCGUUGAUAUCAUGGGGAACACCGAAAGCGAAGGCAGCACACUGGCGCACUCCUGACACUGAAACACGAAAGCGUGGGUAGCGAAUGGG
rnacentral:rRNA from 1 species